AACCUAGCACACCUGCGGUGUGUACCUGCGGAAGGAUCAUUAAUAAAUUGGCGAGCAAUCGCUUUUAUUAUCCAAACACCUGUGAACCAUUUUGGCCUUCGGGCUGAAGAUCUAUAAACAUAACGUGCAGAAUGUAAAUCUAUUAUAACAAUAAUACAACUUUCAACAACGGAUCU
rnacentral:misc_RNA from 1 species